rnacentral:rRNA from 1 species
UACGUAGGGUGCAAGCGUUGUCCGGAAUUAUUGGGCGUAAAGAGCUUGUAGGCGGUUUGUCGCGUCUGCUGUGAAAUUUCGGGGCUCAACCCCGAACUUGCAGUGGGUACGGGCAGACUAGAGUGUGGUAGGGGAGACUGGAAUUCCUGGUGUAGCGGUGAAAUGCGCAGAUAUCAGGAGGAACACCGAUGGCGAAGGCAGGUCUCUGGGCCACUACUGACGUGAGAAGCGAAAGCAUGGGGGAGAAAAAGGG